AAUGUACUCCCUCCGUCCCAUAUAUUAAGUGACUCAAAUUUGCCUAAAUAUGGAUGUAUCUAUAUCCAAAAAGCGUCUAGAUACAUGAAAUAUUUCGUCACUUAAUAUGGGAUGGAGGGAGUAUUAU
rfam:Brachypodium distachyon strain Bd21 chromosome 1, whole genome shotgun sequence.